rnacentral:snoRNA from 1 species
AAAAAAGCAGGGUUCUGUUUUAUUCAUAAACAGUUCUCUCGUAAACUUUAGGGAAAUUAAGUUCAUUGUUAUUGGGUGAACCAUUGUGAACUUUUCUUGUGACAAAUGGUUCAGUAAACAAUGAUACAUGU